rnacentral:rRNA from 1 species
GUGGAUUAGAUACCCUGGUAGUCCACGCCCUAAACGAUGUCAACUAGGUGUUGGGUGGGUAAAACCAUUUAGUACCGGAGCUAACGCGUGAAGUUGACCGCCUGGGGAGUACGGCCGCAAGGUUAAAACUCAAAGGAAUUGACGGGGACCCGCACAAGCGGUGGAUGAUGUGGAUUAAUUCGAUGCAACGCGAAAAACCUUACCUACCCUUGACAUGUCCAGAAGCCCGAAGAGAUUUGGGUGUGCCCGAAAGGGAGCUGGAACACAGGUGCUGCACGGCCGUCGUCAACU